rnacentral:lncRNA from 15 species
CUGUCUGUACAUCUGUCUGUAGUUGCAGAGUCUGUACUCUCCAACUGCGCAGCUAUCAUGUUAGGCUACUGGUGAUUUACAUUUCUGCUUACAUAAGAAAAAGGCUUUAAUUCAAUAUACAGUACUGUGAAAACGUUUGUAGUCACUUAAAGAUCAUUUCAAGUUAAGGCAUUUAUACAAGCAGUGGACAUUGAAGUAAAUGUGUUGUUUAUUUGGACUUUUACGUAGAGAAAACACUGAAAGUCCAGGUGAUAUAAAAAAUGUAAUUGUAACCCUUUAAGACUGCAUCCUCAGCCAGUUUGAGGACAGAGGUCAUUCGUGGAGUUUCCAGAUGGACUAAGUUGCUAAGUGAAUCUAACCAACAGUAAUGUAAACAAAAACCAGCCCUUUCCUGUCCUCAAACUGUCCUCCGUUGGCUUCCAUUUUAUGUGAACUUUAAAGAUAAAAGCACAAGAACAGGCAUAUUGUAAUAGCCGUAUUUUCUUAUAUGAUGUUAUAUUAAAUAUUUUCAGACAGCCUUAAAGCAGAGGAUUUACAGAAUCUACUACCAUGGAAAUGUGAUGUGUCCAAACUUUACAUGUCCACAAGAGGCUUAAGACAUUUGUAUUUUACUAUAUGCAAUAAUUACAUAAAAUAUAUCUACAGUCGAUUCUGGAUUAAUGGUUUGAAGUUCCAGUAUUUUUUUACGGGCAGAAACAAAUCCACAGUACUUGUCAUGGCGCUGUUAAGGUCUUGAACUUUUGGAGAACUGAGUAUUUUCUGUCUCAUUGCAGAUCAUGGACUUCCCAUGGCUGAUGUCCUGGUUGGAGAGACUUUGGUCUUGGGUUGCGCCGUUUUUAGGACGACAACCUCAAGUAGCGGUGACUGAUAGUACCGGUGUUGUUACCACCAGAGAACUAAAGGGUAAACAAUCAAAAGGCCUCAAAAUGACGAUCGAAACAGUGAGUGAUCCAGAUAAUCGUGCAGGGAAGGAUGUUGGACAGGCUUCCCAAGCAACUUACAGUGCAACAGGGGGCGGCGUCAUAUGUGCUGACAAAAUAGCUAUCGACACUAUUGACGGCGAUAUCGAUCUGUCAAUAUCUGUGAAAAAAUCAAACUAG